AUUGAACGCUGGCGGCAUGCUUUACACAUGCAAGUCGAACGGUAACAGGCCGCAAGGUGCUGACGAGUGGCGAACGGGUGAGUAAUGCAUCGGAACGUGCCCAGUCGUGGGGGAUAACGCAGCGAAAGCUGCGCUAAUACCGCAUACGAUCUCUGGAUGAAAGCGGGGGACCGAAAGGCCUCGCGCGAUUGGAGCGGCCGAUGUCAGAUUAGGUAGUUGGUGGGGUAAAGGCCAACCAAGCCAACGAUCUGUAGCUGGGCUGAGAGGACGACCAGCCACACUGGGACUGAGACACGGCCCAGACUCCUACGGGAGGCAGCAGUGGGGAAUUUUGGACAAUGGGCGCAAGCCUGAUCCAGCAAUGCCGCGUGCAGGAAGAAGGCCUUCGGGUUGUAAACUGCUUUUGUACGGAACGAAACGGUCCGGGUUAAUACCCUGGGCUAAUGACGGUACCGUAAGAAUAAGCACCGGCUAACUACGUGCCAGCCGCCGCCGUAAAAC
rnacentral:rRNA from 1 species